UCAGACAUAGUCAGAGAAAGCGAAGGGGAGGAGCUAGAAGCUGGAAGUCAGCGGGAAGCCGGAAGAGAAAGGAGAGGACAUCACCAAGUGAUAGGAAAGCCAGGGGACCCCAAAGAUUGCCAGGCUGCCAGAAAGCUACUGACCUCAGGAGACCCAAGCCUCUGAAAUGCCUGAAGUCCCUGGAUCUGGCCAUCAGGGAGGGAAGACGGAUAUGAAGUAUGAGAGAGCUAGAGUUAACUGAAACCUGAGACCACGAGCUGCAAACCCUGAAGACCAACUGGAGCCUGUGACUGUGUUUCACUGGAACCUACAGUGGUCUCUCGCCAGCAACCAGCCUCCUAUUCCAAGAGUGGUUCCCUUCACCACAGAUGUGCACAUGAACCUGAUCCAGGAUUCAGAGAAGCUGCAGGAGGAGAUCCAGCAGGAAGUGUGGGAGCUGCAAUCCUGGCUGCUCUUCCAUGCCAGCAAGGAGGAAAUGGGACACAGGAAUGUUACAUCAGCAUGGAAACAUAAAAAUGGGAUUGAGCAGGAGAUGUUGGGCAGCCACGGAAAACACUAGACCCUGCCAGAUGCCUCAAAACCAUGAGCCAAUGAAUUCCUGCCGUUUUAGC